rnacentral:rRNA from 1 species
GGGUCAGUAGGUUGGUCGUGCCACCGGUACGUACUGGUCUCACUGAUUCCUCCUUCCUGAAGAACCGUAAUGCCAUUAAUUUGGUGUUGCGGGGAAACAGGACUGUUACUUUGAAAAAAUUAGAGUGUUUAAAGCAAGCUAACGCUUGAAUACAUUAGCAUGUAAUAAUGAAACAGGACGAUCGAUCCUAUUUUGUUGGUUUCUAGGAUUGACGUA